GAGAGAGACAUGACUGCAACGAAAGCUGCUAACUUUCGACCUCUUGGUUUGAUUCCGGGACUCGCUCA
rnacentral:tRNA from 1 species